CACACAGCUAAAUAAACUUUUCUCAUUUUUUUAAUGUCAUAUGUGAACUAAUAUUAUUCGGGAAAAAUGUCAUAAAAAUCCCAAACUUUCAAAAUCUGGCCAUUUAAAGCAUUACCUUUAUAAGAGGCAGCUUAAAAUACGAAAUUUUUAUUGACUUUUAUUUUAAAUCAUAAAUUUUUGUUGACUGAGCCUUAUUGGGCACGUCGUUAAAUGAGUUAACAGAAUCUUAACAUUGUUAAUUAAACGGUGUUUAAUCAUUGUUAAUAGAAACUACGUAUUUUUAUUUUAUUAACUUAGUCUGUUUUCAGUAAUUAAUUUUAGGAGCAAUUUGCUUAAUAUGGAAUAUUUUACGUAUUCAAACAAAAUUAACCCAAAAGAACAUAAACCAAAUCAUGACAAAAUGUGUACAAAAUGAAUUCAACAAAGUGUACCAAACCGACAGUCAAAACAAUGGCAUUACACAAUAGAAAGCAACUCUUUUUUUUUUUUGCAUUCAAACCAUGGUGUUCAACCUUAUGAUCAAAGUUCUUGUGAAACACUUUGUCCUUGAGAUUGUCUUUGUGCUCGUUAUCCUUGUUGUGAUUGUGAUCCUUGGGCUUGUGAUCCUUGUUGUAGUUGUGAAACUCCUCCCUAGUUUAGAAAAUAUGAAAAUAUAUGACAAACAAAACUGAAAUGUGUCAAAUAAACUGAAAAUUUCAAGAACAUACAAACCUGUUUUUUUGGUCGUCCUCUUGGUCUCUUUGGCUGACUCUCAACACUUGGAUUUUUACAACCUUGCUUAUUGUGUCCAUCUUCCUUGCAGUUUGAGCAUGUCACCACUCUCUUCCGGCGUGUUAAUGUGGUCCUAGUUGAUCCUGUUUUAUUCCUGCCUUUCCUCCUAGCAUAGUUACUUGGUCUUCCUGGAUUACCUCUUCUCCAUGGUGGUGGCAAGACAGCUAACCUAUUCAAUCUAGGCCACAACAUCAUCCCUUGUACAGCAUGAACACAAGGGAUUCCAACCAUCUGCCACUUUCUGCAACCACAAGUCUUCUCAUUCAUAUCAACCACAUAGUUAACAUUAUUGAGCUCUACCUCAUGAAAAUUAUUUCUGGCCAUGUAGCGGAUGCAAUGUUGUGAUCCAUUUAUAGCUUUCUCUAUCUCACAAUGUGCUCUUCUUGUGAACCUUGUCUUCAACCUUUCAGCAAUAAUGGACCUCUUCGCAUUACGCACCA